AUCUUGCAAAUUGUGGUCUGGCCUAAUUUUCACAUAAUAAUGUGCCUCAGUUCACAAUGAUUUCUAAAGACUAAAACUUUAACUUUACCAAAUGUUUGAACAUUAUUCAUGUUAACGCAUCCUCAAUAAGAUAAAAUUUUAUCAUAUGCCUUCAGAUGUCCCAAGAUAAACUGCAUUACAGUAUGUCUCAAGGUCAACAUCAACCCCACCCUCCAAAAUCAGAUGCACAAUAGGGUGUAUGGGUAGAACUCUGAGUUAUCCCUCGAAAUAAAAUAGUGCCAAUUUUAUAAACCAAUAUACUAAGUAUAAUGGAGAGCUUUUGACAUCCCAACGGGCCAAUGGGGAAUGAAUGUUCCAUCUGCAGAUUCAACAAGAGGCUAGUUUUCUCCAGCAUUCUACUUGGAAAUGUUAAACUCUCAAUAUUCUUCCAAUAGACACUUUGUGAAUAAAAACCAAUAGUAAGAAAAUGGUUUUAAAUCUGCAAGUAAUAGAAACGGGCCUGUAAUAGUUGUAACGAAAAGGUAACGGCAAAUUGUUUUGAAAAAUUUGCAAAGUUCAUAAAAUGAGUAGAUAUUGGUAGAAAUAAAUAAAAUUAAGAUAUACAAUUAUAUGCUAAGUAUUUAUAUAUCAAAUAAAG
rnacentral:misc_RNA from 1 species